GGUGCAUCAGUGCUCCUCCUCUGAAUGUGUCCGAACCAUCUGAGUCUUACUUCCCGCAUCUUGUCCUCCAUGGGGACCAUCUGAGUCGCUCACACUUGUUUCUUAAUGUACUGAUAUAUACUAGGUUCUCGAGGAAAAUAGCGUCCAUGAACGAGCUACAUAAACACCAUGAAUGCCAUUUCAAAUUAUGAAGAUUACGAGAAUGGUCCUGUACCCGAGGUGAGAAAGAUCAAACGUGCUAAAGUUGUUAUUGCUUAUCGUAGUCUGACUCAACAAAUAUCAAGUACCAAAGCGGGAAGCAGAAAAGGAGAAAGAUCAAACGUGCUAAAGUUGUUAUUGCUUAUCGUAGUCUGACUCAACAAAUAUCAAGUACCAAAGCGGGAAGCAGAAAAGGAGAAAGAUCAAACGUGCUAAAGUUGUUAUUGCUUAUCGUAGUCUGACUCAACAAAUAUCAAGUACCAAAGCGGGAAGCAGAAAAGGAGAAAGAUCAAACGUGCUAAAGUUGUUAUUGCUUAUCGUAGUCUGACUCAACAAAUAUCAAGUACCAAAGCGGGAAGCAGAAAAGGAGAAAGAUCAAACGUGCUAAAGUUGUUAUUGCUUAUCGUAGUCUGACUCAACAAAUAUCAAGUACCAAAGCGAGAAGCAGAAAGGGAGUGGACAUACUUCGUCUGUAAGAAACUCAAAAUUGGAGCCACGAACAACUCUGAACCUCAUACAAGUGGUAAAAAGGAAAUAUAUGGGGAAGCUGUCAUUAAGGUACUGCAUUAUGCAAGGAAUAUAGCGCAGGAGACUAGUAACAAGGUAUAUAUGAUAUAGAAAGUGAAACAACUAUUCUUCGAGCAGUAAGCCAGAGAUUAAGUAUUUGUUCAGAUAUCUGGCAUGUGAAGUUACCGAGAGGUUGUGAGUUCGAGUCUCCCAAGAGCAAGGUGGGAAGUUCUUGGAGGGAAGGAUGUCGGGGGUCUAUUU